rnacentral:rRNA from 1 species
ACAAUCCGAAUUCAAGCGUACUACACUGUCGAGAAAAGCUUCUAACGAGACAUCAUGUACCCGUACCAAAACCGACACAGGUAGGCGGGGAGAGAAUCCUAAGGUGCGCGGGAAAACCCUCGUUAAGGAACUCGGCAAAAUACAUCCGUAACUUCGGGAGAAGGAUGGCCGGAGCUGGUGAAGAGAUUGACUCUUGGAGCUGGAGCCGGCGGCAGAAGAGAAGCCCAAGCGACUGUUUACCACAAACACAGGUGCCUGCUAAAGAGAAAUCUGACGUAUAGGUGCUGACACCUGCCCGGUGCUGGAAGGUUAAGGAGAGAUGUCAGGAGCAAUCCGAAGCAUUGAACUGAAGCCCCAGUAAACGGCGGCCGUAACUAUAACGGUCCUAAGGUAGCGAAAUUCCUUGUCGGGUAAGUUCCGACCCGCACGAAAGGUGUAACGACUUGGGCACUGUCUCAACGAGGGACCCGGUGAAAUUGAAAUACCUGUGAAGAUGCAGGUUACCCGCGACUGGACAGAAAGACCCCAUGGAGCUUUACUGCAGCCUGACAUUGAUUUUUGGCAUGUAACGUACAGGAUAGUUGGGAGACGGAGAAGAUAGCCCCCCAGGGUUAUCAGAGUCGCUGUUGGAAUACCAACCUUUAUGUGCUAGGGAUCUAACUCGAGAAGUAACGAAGCUGAGGACAGUAUCAGGUGGGCAGUUUGACUGGGGCGGUCGCCUCCGAAAGAGUAACGGAGGCGUCCAAAGGUUCCCUCAGCGCGGACAGAAAUCGCGCGAAGAGUAUAAAGGCAGAAGGGAGCUUGACUGCGAGACAUACAGGUCGGGCAGGUACGAAAGUAGGGCUUAGUGAUCCGGUGGAAUGAGAGUGGAAUUGCCAUCGCUCAACGGAUAAAAGCUACCCUGGGGAUAACAGGCUAAUCUCUCCCAAGAGUCCAUAUCGACGGGGAGGUUUGGCACCUCGAUGUCGGCUCAUCACAUCCUGGGGCUGAAGCAGGUCCCAAGGGUUGGGCUGUUCGCCCAUUAAAGUGGUACGUGAGCUGGGUUCAGAAGGUCGUGAGACAGUUCGGUCCAUAUCCAUCGCGGGCGUAAGAUACAUGAGGGAGACUGCUCCUAGUACGAGAGGACCGGAGUGGACGGACCGCCGGUGUACCAGUUGUUUCGCCAGAAGCACAGCUGGGUAGCUGCGUCCGGAAGGGAUAAACGCUGAAAGCAUCUAAGCGUGAAGCCCGUCCCGAGAUGAAGUAUCUCAUGUCGUAAGACAGUAAGACACCUUGAAGAUACAAGGUUGAUAGGGUAGAUGUGGAAGUCCUGCAAGGGAUGAAGCUGACUACUACUAAUACGUCGAGGGCUUAAU